UACGUAGGGUGCGAGCGUUGUCCGGAAUUAUUGGGCGUAAAGAGCUCGUAGGCGGUGUGUCGCGUCGGCCGUGAAAACUUGCAGCUUAACUGUGGGCGUGCGGUCGAUACGGGCAUCACUGGAGUUCGGCAGGGGAGACUGGAAUUCCUGGUGUAGCGGUGAAAUGCGCAGAUAUCAGGAGGAACACCGGUGGCGAAGGCGGUUCUCUGGGCCUGAUCUGACGCUGAGGAGCGAAAGCGUGGGGAGCGAACAGG
rnacentral:rRNA from 1 species